rnacentral:tRNA from 1 species
CUUUAUGAUUAUGGAGUAGCAAAGAUGGUAAAUGCCUAAAAUUUAAAAUCUUUCAUCGAGAGUUCAAACCUCUCCCCCAUAAUA